AUAGAUUGCAGGCCAGCUGCUCUAACUCUCUCCCAUGCAAUUAAGAAAAAACUGGAAAGAUGAAGUAACUUGCCUAAGGAUCCAUAGGAAAAGAGUGCUAGAGCCAGAGUCGGGAAAACAGUUCUCGUGUCUACACUUCACCAGCUUUUAAGAAGUAAACGUGUUCCAGCUGUGAACAAUGACGAUAUUCAUCUUUUUAAGUCAAAACCCACUGGGUAAUAUUUAUUACCCUUUAAGUCAGUUUCAGUUUGCAUUGCCCCUGAUGGUCUUCUCCUUGGACACUAGGUAUGUAUUAAUCAUGAGGGCAGAUGAUUUUCCCAGGCUAAAUUUACUUGAAAGGGUAAGAAGCCUAAUAGACGGUCAUUAUCUAAAUUAAGGUGAUUCCGUGCUCCAGAAAAUCUCCCCAUAGAAGAAAAAUGUCAACAAGCUCAGGAGACUCUCCCUCAUAAAGUUAUUAAAACUAAACAAGCAUACACAACACCCACACACAAUCCAAUACAGAGGAGAUCUCCAACCCAGCUUCCCUGUCAAUACAAAAGAAAGCCAGUGGAGUUUUCUUCAGAAGCCUGGGGCUAGGAAGGGUGCAGAAGGACUGUGAGGGCAAUCCCCAACUGCUUUCACCGACUAAGGUGAGGAGAAAGGAAAGUCAUGACUGGGGGAAAAAAAAAAGAAGAAGAAGAAGGCAAGUUAACUAAGAGAGGCAACCAAUCUACGCUGAAGCUUCCAUAGUCCUGCUCUCUAGAGAAAACCAAAAAUUCACCACCCCGCUUGACGGAUUGGCAGGCAAGAGAAAGAGGGGAAACUUCACACACUCGCUUAGAGUUGUUGGACCCCUUUUCCAGUCCCCAUCUCAAGAAAAGAAGAAGGGGGCAGGGAGGAAUGGACGUGCCCUGAAAAGAAAAGAAAAAGGAGCCAACAUUGCAGCUAGCCUUGGGAAAAUCUCCACAGAUGAGCAUUUUUGUUGCGUUAAGUGGCCGGCAUUAGCAGCCUAAACACGUAGGGGAAGGCUAACAUCGCCGUUAAUAUAAUGCGGGAGAGGAAUGAUAGACCUGGGAGUAGAGAGUGGAAGCGCUAGUUUUGCAUAAAACAAAACAAAACAUUUCUGAGGACUUAAGCUCCUAGGGGGUUGGGUGGAGUGAAUUUAGGGAGCGCCUCAAUCCAUAGAGGAAGCAUGCACCGGGGCAUCAGUUUCAGAGGCUUAUUUUAAAAAUAUAUAUUUAUUUCAGCUGCCUUAAAAAAUAAUUUCACAGUCAGAAAAAUAGCUUCUUAGACCAUGGUUCUGAGGUCGUCUCUGGGAGGGAGAAGAAUCACCUCCGAGAUGUCUUUCAAACUCCAGCAUUGAGACUAAGAAUUGACAAGUAAGGAGGUUCUGGAAGUCAGAAUGAAAAUGGUCACCUCCAUCACCUUCACGAGGCUUCAUUUCUCUCACAUUUAGGGAGGUAGAUGAGAUACAGUUAGACGCACAUAGAGAUAGUGAGAGAGAGAGGGAAAGGGAGAAGGAGAGAGAGGAAAGAGAAAAGGGAAGAAAAAGCAGGGAAAGAAG
rnacentral:lncRNA from 1 species